rnacentral:rRNA from 1 species
AAGCCGCUUCGGUGGUGGAUUAGUGGCGAACGGGUGAGUAACACGUGGGCAAUCUGCCCUUCACUCUGGGACAAGCCCUGGAAACGGGGUCUAAUACCGGAUAAUACUCUGUUCCGCAUGGAACGGGGUUGAAAGCUCCGGCGGUGAAGGAUGAGCCCGCGGCCUAUCAGCUUGUUGGUGGGGUAAUGGCCUACCAAGGCGACGACGGGUAGCCGGCCUGAGAGGGCGACCGGCCACACUGGGACUGAGACACGGCCCAGACUCCUACGGGAGGCAGCAGUGGGGAAUAUUGCACAAUGGGCGAAAGCCUGAUGCAGCGACGCCGCGUGAGGGAUGACGGCCUUCGGGUUGUAAACCUCUUUCAGCAGGGAAGAAGCGCAAGUGACGGUACCUGCAGAAGAAGCGCCGGCUAACUACGUGCCAGCAGCCGCGGUAAUACGUAGGGCGCAAGCGUUGUCCGGAAUUAUUGGGCGUAAAGAGCUCGUAGGCGGCUUGUCACGUCGGAUGUGAAAGCCCGGGGCUUAACCCCGGGUCUGCAUUCGAUACGGGCUAGCUAGAGUGUGGUAGGGGAGAUCGGAAUUCCUGGUGUAGCGGUGAAAUGCGCAGAUAUCAGGAGGAACACCGGUGGCGAAGGCGGAUCUCUGGGCCAUUACUGACGCUGAGGAGCGAAAGCGUGGGGAGCGAACAGGAUUAGAUACCCUGGUAGUCCACGCCGUAAACGUUGGGAACUAGGUGUUGGCGACAUUCCACGUCGUCGGUGCCGCAGCUAACGCAUUAAGUUCCCCGCCUGGGGAGUACGGCCGCAAGGCUAAAACUCAAAGGAAUUUGACGGGGGCCCGCACAAGCAGCGGAGCAUGUGGCUUUAUUUCGACGCAACGCGAAGAACCUUACCAAGGCUUG